AUCCACGGUCACACGGAACGCGGCAAAAAGUGAACAAAAAAGGCAAAAAAAAGAAAAUUCAUGAAAUAAAUAAUAGUUGUGAAAUCAUCAAUAGAAGUCAAAGUGGUUUUGGCGAGAAACGUGAGCAGAGUGCUCUGGCUCCCUUGCUCACAGACACUUGCGCACACUCUGGUAACGGUAUCACGCGCUCUGGCCCCAACGUCAUCCAUCGCUGGGGCUCAUUCGUAUUUCAACGCUCGGCAGUGUAAGGUCGUCGUCGCAGCACUCAGCACUUGUUCCGUACGAACACGAACACGAACACUCUCCCAACUAACGUCACCCACACUUGUGCAAAAGGCCAAAGAGCAGUCAAGAGUCGGUGCAAAAAAACGCCCCCGCCACAGCCCCAGCAAGGUGCUUUGGUACCCGCCCGCCCCCGACAGCACUUGAGCAUAAAUUCUUUUGCUUUUCCCUUUUCCUUUAGAAUUUAACUGUGAAAGUGAAAACGUGACAGCACCAAGAACGAAACGAACGAACGAGGCAAGCAAAACAAAAAACCCGCGUGUGUGUGUAAAAAUAAAAAGACGGAAAACUGAACGCAGCAGAACACAAGAGAGAGAGGAAAAAAAGAUAAAAAUAGUCAACGAACGAAGGGACAAGGUAGCCCUCAGGCGAAAACAAGGAGAACAACAAAAAACACAAAAAACAACAACGACAAUUGACAGACUUGGAAGCGCGCCGCCUACACCUUCAAUUUGAUUAUAUAGUAUAUCACAGCUAUGCUCUCGCUGUAUUUGUCCUAAAUUGUUCAUAAUAAUGAAUUCUGCGCGGCAUCAUCGUAUUGGAGUAUUUCUGUCUCCAUAAGUUUGCUAAGAAACACAGCAAAAAUUCAACUGAAAAAAAAAGAAAAGAUUCCAAGCAAAAGAAAAAAAUUAAAAUAAAGGAACAUAAAAAAUACUAAA